rnacentral:rRNA from 1 species
UACGUAGGUGGCGAGCGUUGUCCGGAUUUACUGGGCGUAAAGAGCCCGCAGGCGGCCUGUUAAGUUCUGGGUGAAAUCUCCCGGCUCAACUGGGAGCGUGCCUAGAAAACUGUCAGGCUUGAGGCAGGGAGAGGGAUGCGGAAUUCCCGGUGUAGCGGUGAAAUGCGUAGAUAUACGGAGGAAUACCUGAGGCGAAGGCGGGUUGCUGGGCCAACACUGACGCUGAGGCGCGAAAGCCAGGGGAGCAAACGGG